rnacentral:rRNA from 1 species
AACGAACGCUGGCGGCAUGCCUAACACAUGCAAGUCGAACGAGACCUUCGGGUCUAGUGGCGCACGGGUGCGUAACGCGUGGGAACCUGCCCUUAGGUUCGGAAUAACUCCCCGAAAGGGGUGCUAAUACCGGAUAAUGUCUUCGGACCAAAGAUUUAUCGCCUUUGGAUGGGCCCGCGUUGGAUUAGCUAGUUGGUAGGGUAAAAGCCUACCAAGGCGACUAUCCAUAGCUGGUCUGAGAGGAUGAUCAGCCACACUGGGACUGAGACACGGCCCAGACUCCUACGGGAGGCAGCAGUGGGGAAUAUUGGAAAAUGGGCGAAAGCCUGAUCCAGCAAUGCCGGGUGAGUGAUGAAGGCAUUAGGGUUGUAAAGCUCUUUUAACCGGGAUGAUAAUGACAGUACCGGGAGAAUAAGCUCCGGCUAACUCCGUG